AUUGAACGCUGGCGGCAGGCUUAACACAUGCAAGUCGAGCGGAAACGAUGGUAGCUUGCUACCAGGCGUCGAGCGGCGGACGGGUGAGUAAUACUUAGGAAUCUACCUAGUAGUGGGGGAUAGCUCGGGGAAACUCGAAUUAAUACCGCAUACGACCUACGGGAGAAAGGGGGCAGUUUACUGCUCUCGCUAUUAGAUGAGCCUAAGUCGGAUUAGCUAGAUGGUGGGGUAAAGGCCUACCAUGGCGACGAUCUGUAGCUGGUCUGAGAGGAUGAUCAGCCACACCGGGACUGAGACACGGCCCGGACUCCUACGGGAGGCAGCAGUGGGGAAUAUUGGACAAUGGGGGAAACCCUGAUCCAGCCAUGCCGCGUGUGUGAAGAAGGCCUUUUGGUUGUAAAGCACUUUAAGCAGUGAAGAAGACUCCGUGGUUAAUACCCACGGACGAUGACAUUAGCUGCAGAAUAAGCACCGGCUAACUCUGUGCCAGCAGCCGCGGUAAUACAGAGGGUGCAAGCGUUAAUCGGAAUUACUGGGCGUAAAGGGAGCGUAGGUAGCUCGAUAAGUCAGAUGUGAAAUCCCCGGGCUCAACCUGGGAACUGCAUCUGAUACUGUUGAGCUAGAGUAUGUGAGAGGAAGGUAGAAUUCCAGGUGUAGCGGUGAAAUGCGUAGAGAUCUGGAGGAAUACCGAUGGCGAAGGCAGCCUUCUGGCAUAAUACUGACACUGAGGCUCGAAAGCGUGGGUAGCAAACAGG
rnacentral:rRNA from 1 species